rnacentral:rRNA from 1 species
CGGACGGGUGAGUAAUGUCUGGGAAACGGCCCGAUGGAGGGGGAUAACUACUGGAAACGGUAGCUAAUACCGCAUAACGUCGCAAGACCAAAGAGGGGACCGUUCGGGCCUCUUGCCAUCGGAUGUGCCCAGAUGGGAUUAGCUAGUAGGUGGGGUAACGGCUCACCUAGGCGACGAUCCCUAGCUGGUCUGAGAGGAUGACCAGCCACACUGGAACUGAGACACGGUCCAG